rnacentral:rRNA from 1 species
UGUAUCGGAACGUGCCCAGUCGUGGGGGAUAACUGCUCGAAAGAGCAGCUAAUACCACAUACGACCUGAGGGUGAAAGCGGGGGAUCGCAAGACCUCGCGCGAUUGGAGCGGCCGAUAUCAGAUUAGGUAGUUGGUGAGGUAAAGGCUCACCAAGCCGACGAUCUGUAGCUGGUCUGAGAGGACGACCAGCCACACUGGGACUGAGACACGGCCCAG